GCGGCGGACGGGUGAGUAACACGUGGGUAACCUGCCCAUAAGACUGGGAUAACUCCGGGAAACCGGGGCUAAUACCGGAUAACAUUUUGAACUGCAUGGUUCGAAAUUGAAAGGCGGCUUCGGCUGUCACUUAUGGAUGGACCCGCGUCGCAUUAGCUAGUUGGUGAGGUAACGGCUCACCAAGGCAACGAUGCGUAGCCGACCUGAGAGGGUGAUCGGCCACACUGGGACUGAGACACGGCCCAGACUCCUACGGGAGGCAGCAGUAGGGAAUCUUCCGCAAUGGACGAAAGUCUGACGGAGCAACGCCGCGUGAGUGAUGAAGGCUUUCGGGUCGUAAAACUCUGUUGUUAGGGAAGAACAAGUGCUAGUUGAAUAAGCUGGCACCUUGACGGUACCUAACCAGAAAGCCACGGCUAACUACGUGCCAGCAGCCGCGGUAAUACGUAGGUGGCAAGCGUUAUCCGGAAUUAUUGGGCGUAAAGCGCGCGCAGGUGGUUUCUUAAGUCUGAUGUGAAAGCCCACGGCUCAACCGUGGAGGGUCAUUGGAAACUGGGAGACUUGAGUGCAGAGAGGAAGUGG
rnacentral:rRNA from 1 species